CUACGGGGCGCAGCAGUGAGGAAUUUUGCGCAAUGGGGGCAACCCUGACGCAGCAACGCCGCGUGAGUGAAGAAGGCCCUUGGGUCGUAAAGCUCUGUCAAUGGGGAAGAAGUUACUUGGUAUUAAUAGUGCCUUGUAUUGACGGUACCCAUGAAGGAAGCACCGGCUAACUCCGUGCCAGCAGCGGCGGUAAUACGGGGGGUGCAAGCGUUAUUCGGAAUUAUUGGGCGUAAAGGGCACGCAGGCGGUCCUGUCAGUCAGAUGUGAAAGCCCAGGGCUCAACCCUGGACGUGCAUUUGAAACAGCAGGACUUGAGUACGGGAGAGGAAAGGGGAAUUCCUGGUGUAGAGGUGAAAUUCGUAGAUAUCAGGAGGAGCACCGGUGGCGAAGGCGCCUUUCUGGACCGAUACUGACGCUGAGGUGCGAAGGCGUGGGUAGCGAACGGGAUUAGAUACCCCCGUAGUC
rnacentral:rRNA from 1 species